AGGAUUAAUAGACUCCGAGCGACUUAAUCUAAGGGCAGUGCCUAUGAUUAUGAGCCGUCAGAGAAACUCUGGCCAGGGUUGGAAUGGAAACAGACCAGCCUUCCUUAUUUGAAAAGGAGCCUUUUUGCUAUGAAA
rfam:Clostridiales bacterium CHKCI001 isolate CHKC1 genome assembly, contig: {contig37}